rnacentral:pre_miRNA from 1 species
AGGGAUAUACCUGGGUCAAAUGGUGGUACAUUCCUGAUUUUUUGAGGAGUCUCCAUACUGUUUUCCAGAUUGGUUACACCAAUUUGCAGUCCCACUAGCAGU